GGGUAUAUAGCUCAGGGGUACAGUGCAUGCUUAACAUGCAAGAGGUCCUGGGUUCAAGCCCCGGUACCUCCA
rnacentral:tRNA from 1 species